GUGCCUGCGUUGGCAGCACAUACAAGAAAAGUAGAACAAUACGGAGAUUAGCAUAGCCCCUGCGCAAAGAUAAUACACAAAUUCAUGAAGCACUCCACAUUUUU